rnacentral:misc_RNA from 1 species
GAGAAUAUCGCCCUCGCGGGUGACUCUCCAACCCUAUGUUAUUGUACCUUUGUUGCUUUGGCGAGCCGCUUCGGCCACCGGCUCGCGCUGGUGAGUGCUCGCCAGAGGACCUAAACUCUGUUUGUCUAUAAUGUCUGAGUACUAUAUAAUAGUUAAAACUUUCAACAACGGAUCUCUUGGUUCU